rnacentral:rRNA from 1 species
CACGUAUUUAGCCGGGGCUUCUUAGUCAAGUACCGUCAUUUCCUUCCUUGCUGAUAGAAGUUUACAUACCGAAAUACUUCAUCCUUCACGCGGCGUCGCUGCAUCAGGGUUUCCCCCAUUGUGCAAUAUUCCCUACUGCUGCCUCCCGUAGGAGUUUGGGCCGUGUCUCAGUCCCAAUGUGGCCGAUCACUCUCUCAAGUCGGCUACUGAUCGUUGCCUUGGUGGGCCGUUACCCCUCAACUAGCUAAUCAGACGCGGGUCCAUCUUGUACCACCGGAGUUUUUCACACUGUAUCAUGCGAUACUGUGCGCUUAUGCGGUAUUAGCAGUCGUUCCAACUGUUAUCCCCCUGUACAAGGCAGGUUACCCACGCGUUACUCACCCGUCCGCCACUCCAGUCACCUCAAUUGUUUCAAUCUCUAGCAAGCUAGGUCAAUCGAACGGGAGAGGUGUCUUCGUUCACUUGCAUGUAUUAAGCACGCCGCCAGCGUU